rnacentral:lncRNA from 1 species
ACUCAAUCAUGUACAGUACAUGAUCAGUUACCGAGGUCCCAUCUUUCAUUCGGGCGCUGAAGAUGGCACAACUAGUUUUGUGCCUCUCAACGUCGUCAGGAACGCCGAAUGAUUCAUUCAACACUUGAAUGAUAUCUUCCGGCUGCAUAUUCUCAAAACGCCUACUAAACUCAUCACUCAUUGCUGCCAACAUGAUGCAUCAAACAGUGAUCCGGUCACUGAGCCACUUCUGAUAAGUGUCUCUGGCCGAUCUUCAUGCAUUAGCAACGGGCUGCUCAGGUGCUUGAUCCGUUAUCACAUAAAGGAUCCUCUCAUGCUCUAGCACUAUUUUCAGUUUCCUAUGCCAAUUAUUGAAAUUUGGACCAGUCAACUUGUCAUUGUCCGACAAUGAGCGAAGUGAUAAAUUAGUGGCCAUUUCUGCAUAAAAAGAAAAUUUGGCUAUUAGUAUAUGAAUUGACUAAACACAGUAGACUUGGACUUUAGUCUAAAGAUAUUCCCACUAUUUUAUACAAAUUGGUAGCCUCUACCUCUAAUUCGAAAAAUUACACCUAAUUCUUUAGUGGGCACUAGAACCCAAUAGAUCCCAUAUAGGCCCGAGUGUGGCUCGGCCAACCCAUAUGCACCUAUUGGUAGGUUCUUAACCAAUUGCUUCACCAAGCAACUUCUAGUGAUGAUUUUG